UUGGAGGGCAAGUCUGGUGCCAGCAGCCGCGGUAAUUCCAGCUCCAAUAGCGUAUAUUAAAGUUGUUGCAGUUAAAAAGCUCGUAGUUGAAUUUCGGAAUCUGUCCGUCGGUCGGGCUUCACUGUCCGUACUGGUGUGAUGGGUUUCUACCUUCUGAAUAAUCGGCAUGUCAUUAAUUUGGUGCGCCGGGGAAGCAGAACUAUUACCUUGAAAAAAUUAGAGUGCUUAAAGCAGGCUAUCGCCUGAAUAGAUUAGCAUGGAAUAAUAAAAUAGGACGGCAUGGUUCUAUUUUGUUGGUUUCUAGGAUCACCGUAAUGAUUAAUAGGGAUAGUUGGGGGCAUUAGUAUUCAAUUGUCAGAGGUGAAAUUCUUGGAUUUAUUGAAGACUAACUUCUGCGAAAGCAUUUGCCAAGGAUGUUUUCAUUAAUCAAGAACGAAAGUUAGGGGAUCGAAGACGAUCAGAUACCGUCGUAGUCUUAACCAUAAACUAUGCCGACUAGGGAUCGGACGAAGUUAAUUUUAUAAUGACGCGUUCGGCGCCUUACGGGAAAC
rnacentral:rRNA from 1 species